rnacentral:rRNA from 1 species
GCUUGUGGAACGAGCGGCGGACGGGUGAGUAACACGUGGGCAACCUACCUGUGAGACGGGGAUAACUCCGGGAAACCGGGGCUUAAUACCGGAUAACGCAUCGAACCGCAUGGUUCGAUGAUCAAAGAUGGCUUCUUGCUAUCACUCACAGAUGGGCCCGCGGCGCAUUAGUUAGUUGGUGGGGUAACGGCUCACCAAGGCGACGAUGCGUAGCCGACCUGAGAGGGUGAUCGGCCACACUGGGACUGAGACACGGCCCAGACUCCUACGGGAGGCAGCAGUAGGGAAUCAUCCGCAAUGGACGCAAGUCUGACGGUGCAACGCCGCGUGAGCGAUGAAGGUCUUCGGAUCGUAAAGCUCUGUUGUGAGGGAAGAACAAGUGCCGUUCGAAUAGGGCGGCACCUUGACGGUACCUCACCAGAAAGCCCCGGCUAACUACGUGCCAGCAGCCGCGGUAAUACGUAGGGGGCAAGCGUUGUCCGGAAUUAUUGGGCGUAAAGCGCGCGCAGGCGGUUCCUUAAGUCUGAUGUGAAAGGCCACAGCUCAACUGUGGAGGGCCAUUGGAAACUGGGGAACUUGAGGACAGAAGAGGAGAGCGGAAUUCCACGUGUAGCGGUGAAAUGCGUAGAUAUGUGGAGGAACACCAGUGGCGAAGGCGGCUCUCUGGUCUGUAACUGACGCUGAGGCGCGAAAGCAUGGGUAGCGAACAGGAUUAGAUACCCUGGUAGUCCAUGCCGUAAACGUUGAGUGCUAGGUGUUAGGGGGUCCAACCCUUAGUGCUGCAGUUAACGCAAUAAGCACUCCGCCUGGGGAGUACGGCCGCAAGGCUGAAACUCAAAGGAAUUGACGGGGGCCUGCACAAGCGGUGGAGCAUGUGGUUUAAUUCGACGCAACGCGAAGAACCUUACCAGGUCUUGACAUCUUCGGACAGCCCAAGAGAUUGGGUCUUCCCUUCGGGGACCGAAUGACAGGUGGUGCAUGGUUGUCGUCAGCUCGUGUC